rnacentral:lncRNA from 1 species
UCUUCGCCUCCUUCCUCUGUAAUGUCGCCUAUUCUUCUCUUGAUCCUUCCUAUUUUGAUGUUUGUAAUACUUACGUUUCUUUCACUUUCAUCUGCAGUCAAUUCCCACUUCUUCAUCGGUCCCAGCGUCAGACAAAAGACCAAUUGAAACUGUACAAACUACUCCUCCGCCGUCUUCAAAACGGCGUAAAUCAGUUGCUAAACGGCAAUUUCGACAAGCCGAAGAUGCUCCUUCGGCUGACAUUUUA